rnacentral:rRNA from 1 species
UAGGGGUUCUGAGAGGAAGGUCCCCCACAUUGGAACUGAGACACGGUCCAAACUCCUACGGGAGGCAGCAGUGAGGAAUAUUGGUCAAUGGGCGCUAGCCUGAACCAGCCAAGUAGCGUGAAGGAUGACUGCCCUAUGGGUUGUAAACUUCUUUUAUAUGGGAAUAAAGUGCAGUAUGUAUACUGCUUUGCAUGUACCUUAUGAAUAAGGAUCGGCUAACUCCGUGCCAGCAGCCGCGGUAAUACGGAGGAUCCGAGCGUUAUCCGGAUUUAUUGGGUUUAAAGGGAGCGUAGGCGGGUUGUUAAGUCAGUUGUGAAAGUUUGCGGCUCAACCGUAAAAUUGCAGUUGAUACUGGCAUCCUUGAGUACAGUAGAGGUAGGCGGAAUUCGUGGUGUAGCGGUGAAAUGCUUAGAUAUCACGAAGAACUCCGAUUGCGAAGGCAGCCUGCUGGACUGUAACUGACGCUGAUGCUCGAAAGUGUGGGUAUCAAACAGGAUUAGAUACCCUGGUAGUCCACACAGUAAACGAUGAAUACUCGCUGUUUGCGAUAUACAGUAA